rnacentral:sRNA from 1 species
AUAGAGGAGAAGAAGAACACUCAAUCAUAGAGCAUUGGGGACGAACCUUGGUGGCGUUGAUUUUGAUCCCUGAAGUGCUCUUGAAUACCUUUUUAAUGGCAUUAAUCUCAGCAAGAUCACCAGCAAGAGUGGAAGUUGCAUGUGC